rnacentral:rRNA from 1 species
UACACUCCUGCGGGAGGCAGCAGUGGGGAAUUUUGGACAAUGGGCGAAAGCCUGAUCCAGCCAUGCCGCGUGCAGGAUGAAGGCCUUCGGGUUGUAAACUGCUUUUGUACGGAACGAAACGGCCUUUUCUAAUAAAGAGGGCUAAUGACGGUACCGUAAGAAUAAGCACCGGCUAACUACGUGCCAGCAGCCGCGGUAAUACGUAGGGUGCAAGCGUUAAUCGGAAUUACUGGGCGUAAAGCGUGCGCAGGCGGUUAUGUAAGACAGUUGUGAAAUCCCCGGGCUCAACCUGGGAACUGCAUCUGUGACUGCAUAGCUAGAGUACGGUAGAGGGGGAUGGAAUUCCGCGUGUAGCAGUGAAAUGCGUAGAUAUGCGGAGGAACACCGAUGGCGAAGGCAAUCCCCUGGACCUGUACUGACGCUCAUGCACGAAAGCGUGGGGAGCAAACAGGAUUAGAAACCCGAGUAGUCCCAU